UACGAAGGGGGCUAGCGUUGUUCGGAAUUACUGGGCGUAAAGGGCGCGUAGGCGGCUGUGCAAGUCAGAUGUGAAAGCCCUGGGCUCAACCCAGGAUGUGCAUUUGAUACUGCAAGUCUCGAGUCCGGAAGAGGUGAGUGGAAUUCCUAGUGUAGAGGUGAAAUUCGUAGAUAUUAGGAAGAACACCAGUGGCGAAGGCGGCUCACUGGUCCGGUACUGACGCUGAGGUGCGAAAGCGUGGGGAGCAAACAGG
rnacentral:rRNA from 1 species